rnacentral:rRNA from 1 species
AUACGUAGGAUCCGAGCGUUAUCCGGAUUUAUUGGGUUUAAAGGGAGCGUAGGCGGACGCUUAAGUCAGUUGUGAAAGUUUGCGGCUCAACCGUAAAAUUGCAGUUGAUACUGGGUGUCUUGAGUACAGUAGAGGCAGGCGGAAUUCGUGGGGUAGCGGGGAAAUGCUUAGAUAUCACGAAGAACUCCGAUUGCGAAGGCAGCCUGCUGGACUGUAACUGACGCUGAUGCUCGAAAGUGUGGGGAUCAAACAGGAUUAGAUACCCUGGUAGUCCACACAGUAGACGAUGAAUACUCGCUGUUUGCGAUAUACAGUAAGCGGCCAAGCGAAAGCAUUAAGUAUUCCACCUGGGGAGUACGCCGGCAACGGUGAAACUCAAAUGAAUUGACGGGG